CCUCUUCCCCUCGCGGCUCAUGGCCCCUAUAUUGAGCGUGCCGGCAACGGCUAUGGCGAUAAAUUGCCAUCGUAAUAAACCCAUCGGACCCGGGGGCAGUACCCGGCGCCUCCACCAAAAACUCUCUGUUUACAGAGACUUAUGGGGGCGAAACAGGAUCGACGAGGGCGUAAAGGGUGUGUUUUCGCUCGGCAUGGUACCACCGUUAUCGGACUAAAACUUAUAGUUGCUAAUGACAACAAUAAGGCUCCGGUCGCUCUCGCCGCUUAAGCGGUGCGAGAACUGGGAAUUGAAGUCCUACGCUCCUAGCCGGGCAUAGGCGGGGUCCGCAGGCACCUGGCAACAGAAGCCUGCAUU
rfam:Pelagibacterium halotolerans B2, complete genome.